UACAGAGGUCUCAAGCGUUGUUCGGAAUCACUGGGCGUAAAGGGUGCGUAGGCUGCACGGUAAGUCAGAGGUGAAAUCCCGGAGCUCAACUUCGGAAAUGCCUCCGAUACUGCCGUGCUUGAGGAUUGGAGAGGAGUCCGGAAUUCACAGUGGAGCAGUGAAAUGCGUAGAUAUUGUGAGGAACACUAGUGGCGAAGGCGGGACUCUGGACAAUUCCUGACACUGAGGCACGAAGGCCAGGGGAGCAAACGGG
rnacentral:rRNA from 1 species